CACUCGCCUGUAACAAUGAGUGGGCGUUUACUUCAGUGACACCCAAGAACACGAAGCUUCUCCUGUGUGGGCUACCCUCUCCCAUCCUCUCCAACCUGGCUGUAAUCACUCCUCCUCCUGUGUGACACCUCAUCUUUUCUUACUUAGGGCUGGGUCUUCGGUUUCCUGCACAGUAGGAAACAGUUGAUGUUGAGGACAAAAAUCUAAACCUUUCUCUCUCUUGUUUUCCGCACAGGUGAAUGAGCCAGGCCUGUUUAUGCUGAGACUCACCACCUAACCCUCUCCCCUUCCUUGCUUGUUUCUGGAUCCUUUUGCCUUGGUUCAGCUACCCCCCACCUAACUAAUAACUCUCUCAGAUUCCCCUAAGAGACUGAUUUGAUUGGUUCUGAAUCACUGUUGCCAGAUGAGGCAGAGCUCAGAAGCGUGGGGGUGGAGGGAAGAGAGGAGCGUGAGCGCGCGUACACACACACACACACACACACACACACACACACACACACACACACACACACAGGGCAAUGCAGACCGUUAUCCACACGAGCAAAGCCCCGUGAGUCAACAGAAUCUCCCAGAAGAAGCAGAAAAACACAGGCAAGUCUGAGGGGCCAUAAAAUGAAAGCAAUAUUAGCAUCCAGGGCCGCAGUGGGACGCCACUCCCAGACCAUGGAUUCUACAAGACGCCCUUCUCUUCAGAGGAGGGAAAGCCUUCCAUGAAAUAACUGUAGGACCCAAAACCGCACGUUGAGGAAACAGCACCGUGGAGUCCAGCCCUGGCUUCGCUCCCCUGAACAGCAGGUCCCUCUGAGUGCGACUGCGGCUCCCUUACGUCUCCCAGAUGCUUUUGAGUGCCUGAUCCCCCCAAAAAACAAUAAUCAAUACAUAAAAGGCAAAAAUUUUCUUUUUAAAAUUAAAAAUUUGAGGCUAUACAGAUGGCUCCGCAGUUAAGAGCACUGACCACUCUUGCAGAGGAUGCAGGUUCGAUUCCUAGCACCCACAUGGCCUUUUGCAAACAUCUGUAACUCCAGUUCCAGGGGACCCAACACUCUCUUCUGGCCUGUAUUACACCAGAAAUGCACACAGUGAACAGACAGACAUGCUGAGAAAUCAUGCACACAAAUGCCGCAUUUUAAUAAUGUGUGUAAGAUGUGUACCUAAAUUUCACGUGUGCUGCAGUUUCCAAAGAGAUGGGAAUGGUUUGUCCUUGUGUGAGUGAGAAACUAAAUAUUCCAGCAAUGCAGUAGCUUGGCCACAGAAGUGGUUACUAUGUCACUGAGUUGGCCUUUAACCUAGGCUAACCUGGCAGCUUUCCAUUGCUCCACUGUAUUUUAUCUUACAGGCACUUUUCUGCUUGUGGUUUUAUACACAGGAAGCACACCCUACCAAUUUGAGCAUCAGCAUGUGAAACGGGCACUGUAAUCCCAUAUUACAGAUUAAAAUGUUGAGGUCCAUCAACAACCUCAAUGUUCCAAAUUACCCAGGGAAACCCCAUGCUACAAAGUCUUCAAGGCUUUGGCAUUAUGGCGACAGGCACGAAGAGAUCUCUCCUUUGUCACUACAGUGUCAAUACAUGACAAGAAUGCUUUCCCAAACCAGCAUCUCCAUGUUCCCAAAGUGCCCAACACCGUCAAAAGCCAGACUGAAAUGCUUGUGUCCUAAUGUCUCCUCUGAAUUUUCAGAUAUAUUGAAAUACUUUUCCUGCUUCGCUUAACUCUAAUUUUACAAUGUUUUCACAGUCUCAAAACUGAUUUCCAUUUGAAAACUUAAACUUUUCAGGGUGUGCUUUGUGUAAUUUCAUUAAGUUUAUUUGGAGUAUAUGGACCACGUUAUUUUUAGUAACUGCUCUGGGGAAUAAAAUUCUCAGAAAGAGAAA